ACGAACGCUGGCGGCGUGCUUAACACAUGCAAGUCGAACGGGAGGAAAAGAGAAGCUUGCUUCUUUUGAAUCUAGUGGCAAACGGGUGAGUAACACGUAAACAACCUGCCUUCAGGAUGGGGACAACAGACGGAAACGACUGCUAAUACCGAAUGUGUUCCGGAGACCGCAUGAUUUCCGGAAGAAAGGAUGGCCUCUAUUUAUAAGCUAUCGCCUGAAGAGGGGUUUGCGUCUGAUUAGGCAGUUGGUGAGGUAACGGCCCACCAAACCUACGAUCAGUAGCCGGUCUGAGAGGAUGAACGGCCACACUGGAACUGAGACACGGUCCAGACUCCUACGGGAGGCAGCAGUGGGGAAUCUUCCGCAAUGGACGAAAGUCUGACGGAGCAACGCCGCGUGAGUGAUGACGGCCUUCGGGUUGUAAAGCUCUGUGAUCGGGACGAAUGGCUGGUAUGCUAAUACCAUAUCAGAGUGACGGUACCCGAAUAGCAAGCCACGGCUAACUACGUG
rnacentral:rRNA from 1 species